AUUUGUUUAGAGUUGUUCUGGCUUGUAAAUGGUGCUUAAUUUGUGCAGAUUUCUUUUCUGAUUCAGUCCAGACUACUUUUCACUGGAAGAUGUGUUAUUAUGGAUUAUGCACUCUAUAGAUUUUAGUUAAAACUUCUUGAUGAUGGAUUUGUUUCAGCUUUUGUCUUCUCCUGAUGGACUGGAGUGGUGUGGAUUAUUGUGAUGUUGUAAUCAGCUGUUUGGACUCUCAUUCCGACGGCACCCAUUCACUGCAGAGUAUCCAUUGGCUUUGAAAAAAAUCAGCAAGCUCUUGUUUCUUCAAAUCAUCCUUUGGGUCUGCUAUUUUGAAUGCAGCUACAAAGCAGAGCAGAUUAUGAAGCUCCUCGAUCCUCAGCAGGGAAUUUCACACCGGCACACGCAGACCUCUGGUUUUGUCGUGGCAUGUUGCAUAUGCCUUCCUGUACAGGAGCGUGUUCUUCUCUCUGAAAUCAGCUGAGCAAGGUGCCCUGCGCCCGCAGGUUACUGCCAGCCGUGGUGAAUGAAUUUCGACAGCUGCACGGCCACAGAUAGUCACAUUGUGUCAUGACAGAGCUGGGGCCAAAGAGAGGGAGGAAUACAGGAGAGGAAGAGCCUCUCGCUGCUGACCUGAGACCUGUCAAAGCCCCUUCAGCCUGCUGUGCCAUCACGUCAACAACAUCUGCUAACAAUCUGCCUACAAUUAGUCAGAUGCCCGGGAAGCUUUCGUCAAGCGACACCUGUUCAUUCUGCCAUCGCAGGAGGACACGUUCUGGCAGAGGGCCGAAUUAAACACACCGCUUUCUGCUAAAAUACAGAAAAUAGUGCAGGUUCUCAUUUGCUGAAGUGAAAGUCAACCUGACAUCACAACGGACGUGAUCAGUCCCUUCAGGGCAGGUCGGUCCAAUUGGCAAAGCAUCUUGCUGAGGCCUUCAGGCAGCUAUUUCCAGUCUUGAAGGUUUCUGUGGUUGCACUGCCACCCUUCUGCAACACGCUGUCAGGUUUACAAACGAUGGAAAGCACGUGUGACGACUGCACGAACGCUACAAUUAAUGCACGAUUUCUGGGAUCGAACAAAUCUGGAUUUAUUGGAUUUACCAAAAUUUGCAUGCUUUUGGCUUCACAAGACCUCAAUUGAUGGACUGGAGUGGGAUGGAUUGCUUGUGGAUUAUUCUGAUGUUUUUAUCAGCUGUUUGGACUCUCAUUACGACGGCACCCAUUCACUGCAGAGCAUCCAUUGGUGAGCAAGCAGCUGAAUGGAUUUAUUAUGCACCUCACCUGUCUUCAAAAUGGCACAAGCUGGUCACUUUAAAUGUCAGUCAAAUGGUCUGUUUCUAGACUGCCUGUGACAGCACUAAAUAAGAUGUCUGGUGUGAGUCAGCACUCAGAUGCUUGCUGACCGGGAAAGUAACUGUGUUAAGCAUGCAACAGAUUAAAACGUUCAGCUUUGGAAAGUUUCCCCCAGCACCAUUAAUGUUUUUCAUUUUCAUUAUCUGUCACUGGAGGUAUAAAUGCCAUGAGGAUUAGAGAAAUACAUGGACUCUCUGCUCGCCUGCCCUUCUGUGCUUAUCCGCCCUCGUCCUCCAUCCAUCCCCGGGUCGUUAAACUCCCGCCGGCAUUCGCCUCACGCUACACGGUCCGAGGCAAAGCUCCUGCGGCCGGGUCACAGACAAGCACAUAACCUGAGCGACUGGCCUAGUGUCUUAGGAAUUUCUAUAAUCCUGCAGAUCUAUUACAGAUAGCGCCACUGACACAGGCUACAGAGAUUAGAAGCAGCAGAUACUGACUGUAUUGAUUGGCCCUUCUCAUCCCUCGCUGCAUGGGUGUGUAAUGGAAACGCGGUAAUGAAUUCCAGGAGCCUGUCACAGUCCGAGACCUCUAAUUGAGUCGGAAGCGUGUGAAGAGUUGUGUGCGUAUAGACGUAUGACUUUAGAAAGGGAUUUACCCUUCUUAAAAAACGGUUGGCAUGGGUUUUUUGUCUUUCAUUCUCUUUAAUUCUUGACGCAGUGCUCUUCAAAAGCGUCAGUCGGUGCACGCAUGAGGUUUUGUUGCAGCUGAGGAUUAUUGUUGCUGUAAAGUUACAUCAUUUUCUACUCGAGGAAGUUCUUCUAUAAGCCCGUGAGCUCCUCAGUGCUAACAAACCACAGAAACACUGAUGAGGAGGAUGCAGUGAUGUAUCAGCGGCCGUAUUUGUGUGUUUUCACUGUUUUUUGAAAUUGGAUCAAAUGCCUGGUACAACCCUGUGCAUAUUUGAAGACUCUGUUGGGUGGAAUAAUUGUCUUUUUUAUUAUGAAAACUUCUGUAAACAUUCUUUAUUUGGACUAGUAACCUUAAUUUUUCAUCCCCCUUUGACAAAAGCAGGAAUCUAACAAAUCCAUUGAGGUUUUAAACAAGACAACUUUUUUGAAUGAUUAAAUAUAUUAACAACCUUAAUUCAAUAGACAAGCCCUAAUAUCUUAAGUAAAUUCAUGUUGUUUUCAAGAUGUUUAGAUAUUUUUACAGAAAUGCUACAUCACCUAAGAAAA
ensembl:lncRNA